CUACGCACUCCUACGGGAGGCAGCAGUGGGGAAUAUUGGACAAUGGGCGCAAGCCUGAUCCAGCCAUGCCGCGUGAGUGAUGAAGGCCUUAGGGUUGUAAAGCUCUUUUGUCCGGGACGAUAAUGACGGUACCGGGAGAAUAAGCCCCGGCUAACUUCGUGCCAGCAGCCGCGGUAAUACGAAGGGGGCUAGCGUUGCUCGGAAUCACUGGGCGUAAAGGGCGCGUAGGCGGCCUUGUAAGUUGGGGGUGAAAGCCCGUGGCUCAACCACGGAAUUGCCUUCGAUACUGCUUGGCUUGAGUGUGGUAGAGGUUGGUGGAACUGCGAGUGUAGAGGUGAAAUUCGUAGAUAUUCGCAAGAACACCGGUGGCGAAGGCGGCCAACUGGACCAUCACUGACGCUGAGGCGCGAAAGCGUGGGGAGCAAACAGGAUUAGAUACCCUGGUAG
rnacentral:rRNA from 1 species